rnacentral:rRNA from 1 species
AGGACGAACGCUGGCGGCGUGCCUAACACAUGCAAGUGGAGCGACGACCCGGGCUUCGGCCCGGUGCAAAGCCGCGAACGGGUGAGUAACACGUGAGUAACCUGCCCCUAGCUCUGGGAUAGCUCCGGGAAAACCGGGAUUAAUACCAGAUACGACCACUUUAGACAUCUGUCGUGGUGGAAAGGAUUCCGGCUAGGGAUGGGCUCGCGGCCUAUCAGCUUGUUGGUGGGGUAACGGCCUACCAAGGCGACGACGGGUA